rnacentral:rRNA from 1 species
CAGUAGCCGCGGGAAUACGAAGGGGGCUAGCGUUGCUCGGAAUCACUGGGCGUAAAGGGUGCGUAGGCGGGUCUUUAAGUCAGGGGUGAAAUCCUGGAGCUCAACUCCAGAACUGCCUUUGAUACUGAGGAUCUUGAGUUCGGGAGAGGUGAGUGGAACUCCGAGUGUAGAGGUGAAAUUCGUAGAUAUUCGGAAGAACACCAGUGGCGAAGGCGACACACUGGCUCAUUACUGACGCUGAGGCUCGAAAGCGUGGGGAGCAAACAGGAUUAGAUACCCGAGUAGUCCCUGUCUCUUAUAC